rnacentral:rRNA from 1 species
UACAGAGGGGGCAAGCGUUAUUCGGAAUUAUUGGGCGUAAAGGGCGCGUAGGCGGCAUGGCAAGUGGAUGGUGAAAUCCCUCGGCUUAACCGAGGAACUGCCGUCCAAACUGCUUCGCUUGAGACCGGGAGAGGUGAGUGGAAUUCCCAGUGUAGCGGUGAAAUGCGUAGAUAUGUGGAGGAACACCGAUGGCGAAGGCAGCCCCCUGGGUCAAGAUUGACGCUCAUGCACGAAAGCGUGGGGAGCAAACAGG